rnacentral:lncRNA from 1 species
GAUAAAAUAUGAUUUCAGCUCAAAUUUUAACAAAAUUUGAAUUUAAAGAUUCAUAUUAGAGAUAAUAAUGAUGAUUUUCAAAAAUUGAGUGAGAUUAUUGUGGAAUUUUCAGUUAAGAAAUAAAAAACGGAAAAACUUCAAUUGUGCGAGAUUAUUCUGUGAAAUGGCAGUGUUUAUUGAGUUUAGUUAUGCGUAGAGGAAUAAGUGCAAGAGUGUAAAGAAACGUAGGGUGGCUGGAAUAAUAAUGUAGCAAGUGGUGUGGGAUAAUAAUACAAAAAUUAAAUAUUUAGAAAAAUAAAAAGAAAGCUGAUAUGGAAAUAUGUUGACAAGAAAAUGCUAAUGUGUACAAACUCUAGGGACCUUGAUCAAAAACUGAAAAAGAACAAGGUUUUAAUCAAAGAUCUCUAGCAAGUAAGGACCGGAUACAAAGUGUCCCAUUAAAAAAUAACUAAGCAACAAAACUAGGAUUAUCAUGAAGUAGUUUUGCUGAAGUUGGAUUGUGAAGAAGUCAUUAGCAAAAAAGGCGCCAAAGCAUCUUGGAAUGAUUUUGAAUUUGUUAACUUAUAAAAAAAAAAAGGUGGUCUUCGGCAUUUGUUGACUUGUAGAAAGUACUUCCUAGUGAAGCAGACGCCUAACAAACUACAAACAUCGAGUAAACGAAAAUCUGUUUCAAUGACAUUACAAUGGGCAAGCCUUAGUCUACUCAACGAGUUUGUGUAUUUGUAUUAAAUUUAGUACUGUCAUUUGUUUUAUUGUACGUACUAUAUUUUUAUAAUUUAAUUGUGUAUUGUAUUAUUAUUUCAUCAAUAUUAUUUUUGUAGAUAUUAGUUUAUCCAUUUCUAAUCAUAACCUCUCUAGUCAAUUUUGUACUUGAAUUAAACAAAAAUUUGUCACUCUAAAGCUUUUUUAUAUAUUGGCCUAAGAUUUUUUUAAGGGUAAAUUACAUUUUGCACCCUCAAGUAUGAGUGUGAUUACAACCUCAUACAUCAUCUUUAAAACAUUACAAUUUCAUACACCAAAUAUGAUUUAGUUACAAUUUCAUACAAUCCGUUACAUAAUUUGUUAGAUUGGUUGUUAAGUGAUCAUGUGGCAGAUAUGGGACCCAAUUUUUAAUGAGGUGAAUGUCAACUUUGCGUCACAUGGAUAAAAAAAUUAUUAUUAUUUGAAAUAUUUAAUAAAUAAUUAAAAUGUCAAAAAAAAAAGAAGGGUAAAUUACAUUUUACCCCCUCAGGUUUGGGGUUGAUUUCAAUUCCUUACAACAUCUUUAAAACAUUUCAAUUUCAUAUAUUCGUUAGAAAAUAUGUUAAAUAAACCAUUAAGUGAUGACA